AUGAACGCUAGCUACAGGCCUAACACAUGCAAGUCGAGGGGAAACGGCAGCUUAGCUUGCUAAGCUGGACGUCGACCGGCGCACGGGUGAGUAACGCGUAUCCAACCUGCCCCACGGUGAGGGAUAACCCGCGGAAACGCGGCCUAAUACCUCAUGGUCUCCGAGCUUGACAUCAACCUUGGAGUAAAGAUUCAUUGCCGUGGGAUGGGGAUGCGUCUGAUUAGCUUGUUGGCGGGGCAACGGCCCACCAAGGCAACGAUCAGUAGGGGUUCUGAGAGGAAAGCCCCCCACAUUGGAACUGAGACACGGUCCAAACUCCUACGGGAGGCAGCAGUGAGGAAUAUUGGUCAAUGGGCGAGAGCCUGAACCAGCCAAGUAGCGUGCAGGAUGACGGCCCUAUGGGUUGUAAACUGCUUUUAUGCGGGGAUAAAGCGGGCGACGUGUCGCCCUUUGCAGGUACCGCAUGAAUAAGGACCGGCUAAUUCCGUGCCAGCAGCCGCGGUAAUACGGAAGGUCCGGGCGUUAUCCGGAUUUAUUGGGUUUAAAGGGAGCGCAGGCCGGGUAUUAAGCGUGUUGUGAAAUGUAGGCGCCCAACGUCUGCACCGCAGCGCGAACUGGUGCCCUUGAGUACGCACGACGUUGGCGGAAUUCGCCGUGUAGCGGUGAAAUGCUUAGAUAUGGCGAAGAACUCCGAUUGCGAAGGCAGCUGACGGGAGCGCUACUGACGCUCAUGCUCGAAAGCGCGGGUAUCGAACAGGAUUAGAUACCCUGGUAGUCCGCGCGGUAAACGAUGGAUGCCCGCUAUUUGCGCAUUAGCGCAAGUGGCCAAGUGAAAACGUUAAGCAUCCCACCUGGGGAGUACGCCGGCAACGGUGAAACUCAAAGGAAUUGACGGGGGCCCGCACAAGCGGAGGAACAUGUGGUUUAAUUCGAUGAUACGCGAGGAACCUUACCCGGGCUUGAAUUGCAACUGAAUGAUGUGGAGACAUGUCAGCCGCAAGGCAGUUGUGAAGGUGCUGCAUGGUUGUCGUCAGCUCGUGCCGUGAGGUGUCGGCUUAAGUGCCAUAACGAGCGCAACCCCUCUCCAUAGUUGCCAUCAGGUAAUGCUGGGCACUCUGUGGACACUGCCACCGUAAGGUGCGAGGAAGGUGGGGAUGACGUCAAAUCAGCACGGCCCUUACGUCCGGGGCUACACACGUGUUACAAUGGGGGGUACAGAGAGUCGGGACAACGCGAGUUGCCCCCAAUCAUUAAAGCCCCCCUCAGUUCGGACUGGGGUCUGCAACCCGACCCCACGAAGCUGGAUUCGCUAGUAAUCGCGCAUCAGCCAUGGCGCGGUGAAUACGUUCCCGGGCCUUGUACACACCGCCCGUCAAGCCAUGAAAGCCGGGGGCGCCUGAAGUCCGUGACCGCGAGGAUCGGCCUAGGGCGAAACUGGUAAUUGGGGCU
rnacentral:rRNA from 1 species